UAUGAAGCUAAAUGGAGGAAUGUUUACCGGUUAAAAAUGCAGAAAAAUACAGCUUUUGGUCUUACCCGCAAGGUGUUCGGUAAAACACCUCAACCGUAUCUCUUGAUUCUUUUGCUUCAAUUUUUUUACUUCAUGAUGUUGAGUUGUUGUACUGGUGGUAUUGUUCAUUGAUGAUCAUUUGCGGCGUGUGAAUUGGUGGAGAAUUGUCGACGUUACUACCUUUUUACAACUUACGCCUCAAGUGUUCGACAAAAAGUUUCAACUAGUUUCUUUCCUCUUUUUGCUUUUGUUUUGAUGUGCAUUGUGAUGCUGAAUUUUCUGUUAUUGUUGCUGAACUCUUGAGUUUCUAUUUAAUGCUUGAAAUCUUAAGUUUUAUAUUGAUAUCUUCUUAAAUUUUCUUCUUCCAUCUUAAUCGUGUAAGUGUGCUUCAAUAGAACAAACUAGAUUAUCCUCUUCCUUCAUACAUUUCUUACUUACGCUCCCCUUUUUUUUCCAUUUUAUUCUUUCCUCAAAUGUGUUACUGUUAAGAAACUGGAAGAGAGAAAAACUUGGAGAAGGACAAUAUUUUUCUUACACUGUUGACAUUAGUCUAAUUUUGGUGGUUUUGAAUUGUUAUGGUCCUUUCUUCAUUCUGCUUAUUGAAUUGGUUAUCAAGUCUAUAGUGGAUUUCUGUAUUUCAGCUUCAAAGUCAUGCAUAAAAUAUGAUGUUUAGAUGAACAAGCUUAGAUUGAACUUGAUAAAUUCACUUGAUUUGAUGCUUUGUUUGUAGACUAAUUUCUCAUUUCUUAAUUAAAGAAUUGCAGUGAUGAGUAUGAUACAUGGACAUGCCUUCUCCUUGGAAUUCAAGCAGAAGUUUUGGUUUAACCUUAAACAUCCAUUGAAUUUGGUUUACAGACAGUCAUCUUCUAUUUGUCAGUUUUUUUUAGAAUUCUAAAUAUGGUUUAAACUGAUUUACAAGAUCUUGGGCAGUUUGUAGCAUGCUUUGUAUUACUAUAUUUUGUUCAUGGACUAUUCAUCAAUCAAUCAGAAGUUCCACUUUUUGUGAAUGGAAUACUAAUAAAGUUGAGUGGGGAGAGUGCAUUUAUGCUUAUGAGUCUUCUUGGAGAACUCUUGUGCCUCAUAACUUUUACCUUCAUUCCUCUAUUGUACAGGGUAGACAUAAGGAAGCUGAUGAAGUGUUGUGCUAUACCUGAAGAGGAAUCCAUAGUUAACAAUCAGUACAUUCCACAAAAGAUGGGAUUAAAAGGCGUCGACCACGUUGCAAUCAUAGUUACAAUUGGAAAUU